GCUCGGUGGGGCAGUGGUUUGCACUGCUGCCUCUCAAUUAGUAGUUUGCUGGUUCAAAGCCAGCCAGCA